rnacentral:rRNA from 1 species
UACGUAGGGGGCUAGCGUUGUCCGGAAUCAUUGGGCGUAAAGCGCGUGUAGGCGGAUUGUUAAGUCAGGGGUGAAAUCCUGGAGCUCAACUCCAGAACUGCCUUUGAUACUGGCGAUCUCGAGUCCGGGAGAGGUGAGUGGAACUGCGAGUGUAGAGGUGAAAUUCGUAGAUAUUCGCAAGAACACCAGUGGCGAAGGCGGCUCACUGGCCCGGUACUGACGCUGAGGUGCGAAAGCGUGGGGAGCAAACAGG